rnacentral:rRNA from 1 species
UACAGAGGUCUCAAGCGUUGUUCGGAUUCAUUGGGCGUAAAGGGUGCGUAGGCGGCGCGGUAAGUCGGGGUGUGAAAUCUCGGAGCUUAACUCCGAAACUGCAUUCGAUACUGCCGUGCUUGAGGACUGGAGAGGAGACUGGAAUUUACGGUGUAGCGGUGAAAUGCGUAGAUAUCGUAAGGAAGACCAGUGGCGAAGGCGGG